CUGGGUUUCACCCCAGGGCUUGCACAGGAGGCAGGUGCUGCAGCACAGCUCUGUGCACUGUGUGCUCUUGGAUAGAUGCCUUUGUGCGUACUUAUGAUGCAGAGUUCUAAACAUUCAGAAGAUUCUUGGCCUUGCCCCUUCACGAGCCGCCACCAAGCAGGCCGGUGGAUUUCUUGGCCCUCCACCUCCUUCUGGAAAGUUCUCUUGAAUUUAAGCAGAGCCUGUUAAUUCCUGUUAUUCUUUUUAGACACGCAUGUCAGACUGGCAACUUUUAUAGCAAGAACUGUAGGCCCCCAUCUUGCUUUGAAUUGGUUCUCAGCUUUUUUAAUGUGAUGAGGUGCCUAACAGUAGUUAGUGCUGUUGGCCACAGGUAAUUUUUUUUUUUUUAUUACUACCCUGAUUACUUAAGUUCAGGUGAUCUUUAUGUAAUGAAAAACAGAUAUCUUUCUUGCUUUGCUUGCGUAAACAUUGUCUGUGGGAGAACUCACAGCUGUGUGUGUGCCAUCUACCAUGGAAGCUGACUAAAAGCUCGAAGAAAAAUUCAGUCUGUGUAUCUAAACGUAAUUGGAAUUAUUUGUUGUGUUUUUAAUGCCAAAUCACCUAAGAUCAAUAAAGAAGCCAGAUUUUUUAGCUA